rnacentral:rRNA from 1 species
AGUGAACGCUGGCGGUAGGCCUAACACAUGCAAGUCGAACGGCAGCACAGUAAGAGCUUGCUCUUACGGGUGGCGAGUGGCGGACGGGUGAGGAAUACAUCGGAAUCUACUUUUUCGUGGGGGAUAACGUAGGGAAACUUACGCUAAUACCGCAUACGACCUACGGGUGAAAGCAGGGGAUCUUCGGACCUUGCGCGAUUGAAUGAGCCGAUGUCGGAUUAGCUAGUUGGCGGGGUAAAGGCCCACCAAGGCGACGAUCCGUAGCUGGUCUGAGAGGAUGAUCAGCCACACUGGAACUGGGACACGGUCCAGACUCCUACGGGAGGAAGCAGUGGGGAAUAUUGGACAAUGGGCGCAAGCCUGAUCCAGACAUACCGCGUGGGUGAAGAAGGCCUUCGGGUUGUAAAGCCCUUUUGUUGGGAAAGAAAAGCAGCAGGUUAAUAACCCGCUGUUCUGACGGUACCCAAAGAAUAAGCACCGGCUAACUUCGUG